UACGAAGGGUGCAAGCGUUAUUCGGAUUGAUUGGGCGUAAAGGGUGCGCAGACGGCGUGUUAAGUCAACUGUCAAAUUUCCUGGCCUAACUAGGAGCUCGCAGUAGAUACUGGCAUGCUUGAGGAUGGAAGAGAGAAGUGGAAUUCUCGGAGUAGCGGUAAAAUGCGUAGAUCUCGAGGGGAACACCGAUGGCGAAGGCAGCUUCUUGGUCCAUUUCUGACGUUCAUGCACGAAAGCGUGGGUAGCAAACAGG
rnacentral:rRNA from 1 species